UCCUACGGGUGGCUGCAGUGGGGAAUAUUGGACAAUGGGGGCAACCCUGAUCCAGCGACGCCGCGUGUGUGAAGAAGGCCUGCGGGUUGUAAAGCACUUUUAGUGGGGAGGAAAACCCCCGACCUAACACGUCGGGAAUUGACUUAACCCAAAGAAAAAGCACCGGCUAACUCUGUGCCAGCAGCCGCGGUAAUACAGGGGGUGCAAGCGUUAAUCGGAAUUACUGGGCGUAAAGCGUGCGUAGACGGUUUAUUAAGUCGGAUGUGAAAUCCCCGGGCUCAACCUGGGAAUUGCAUUCGAGACUGAUCAGCUAGGGUACGGAAGAGGGAAGCGGAAUUUCCGGUGUAGCGGUGAAAUGCGUAGAUAUCGGAAGGAACAUCAGUGGCGAAAGCGGCUUCCUGGUCCAGUACCGACGUUCAGGCACGAAAGCGUGGGGAGCAAACAGGAUUAGAUACCCUGGUAGUCCACGCCAUAAACGAUGAGGACUAGACGUUGGAGGGGUCAGCCUUUCAGUGUCGCAGCUAACGCGAUAAGUGAGCCGCCUGGGGAGUACGGUCGCAAGAUUAAAACUCAAAGGAAUUGACGG
rnacentral:rRNA from 1 species